GCCCGACCACGCAACUGGCGUUCAAGGCCCGCAUCGGGCCGAGGUGGGCAACCACCGGGGAGCGUGGUCGCCGCAGGCGCAUCGGCUUGCGGCGGUUUCUUGCCGUGCGCCUGGGCAGCCCGA
rnacentral:ncRNA from 2 species